GAGCAAAUACUUUAUCGAUUUAUACUGUUAAAAACUUGCGUGACUGAUAGAAUAAUUAAAUAGUGGCACAGCACCAUGCCACAUGUAACUUAUGCUAAUGUACAGAGACUAGUUUUUAACAAUACAAAUAGAUAAAAAUUUUAGCUA
rfam:Gossypium arboreum cultivar AKA8401 contig_105_15, whole genome shotgun sequence.